AUUGAACGCUGGCGGAAUGCUUUACACAUGCAAGUCGAACGGCAGCACGGACUUCGGCCUGGUGGCGAGUGGCGAACGGGUGAGUAAUGUAUCGGAACGUGCCCAGUCGUGGGGGAUAACGUAGUGAAAAUUACGCUAAUACCGCAUACGAUCUAUGGAUGAAAGCGGGGGAUCGCAAGACCUCGCGCGAUUGGAGCGGCCGAUAUCAGAUUAGGUAGUUGGUGGGGUAAAGGCCCACCAAGCCAACGAUCUAUAGCUGGUCUGAGAGGACGACCGGCCACACUGGAACUGGGUCACGGUCCAGACUCCUACGGGAGGCAGCAGUGGGGAAUUUUGGACAAUGGGCGAAAGCCUGAUCCAGCCAUUCCGCGUGCAGGAUGAAGGCCCUCGGGUUGUAAACUGCUUUUGUACAGAACGAAAAGGUUUCUACUAAUACUAGGAGCUCAUGACGGUACUGUAAGAAUAAGCACCGGCUAACUACGUGCCAGCAGCCGCGGUAA
rnacentral:rRNA from 1 species